rnacentral:rRNA from 1 species
GGUUUGUUAAGUCAGAUGUGAAAGCCCCGGGGCUCAACCUCGGAAUUGCAUUUGAAACUGGCAGACUAGAGUACUGUAGAGGGGGUAGAAUUUCAGGUGUAGCGGUGAAAUGCGUAGAGAUCUGAAGGAAUACCGGUGGCGAAGGCGGCCCCCUGGACAGAUACUGACACUCAGAUGCGAAAGCGUGGGGAGCAAACAGGAUUAGAUACCCUGGUAG